rnacentral:rRNA from 1 species
UACGUAGGGUGCGAGCGUUGUCCGGAAUUACUGGGCGUAAAGAGCUCGUAGGUGGUUUGUCGCGUUGUUCGUGAAAACUCACAACUCAAUUGUGGGCGUGCGGGCGAUACGGGCAGACUGGAGUACUGCAGGGGAGACUGGAAUUCCUGGUGUAGCGGUGGAAUGCGCAGAUAUCAGGAGGAACACCGGUGGCGAAGGCGGGUCUCUGGGCAGUAACUGACGCUGAGACACGAAGGCCAGGGGAGCAAACGGG